rnacentral:rRNA from 1 species
UACGUAGGUGACCAGCGUUGUCCGGAUUUACUGGGCGUAAAGAGCGCGCGGGCGGUCGUUCAAGUCGAGUGUGAAAGCCCCCGGCUCAACUGGGGAGGGUCACUUGAUACUGAUCGACUCGAAGGCAGGAGAGGGAAGCGGAAUUCCCGGUGUAGUGGUGAAAUGCGUAGAUAUCGGGAGGAACACCAGUGGCGAAGGCGGCUUCCUGGCCUGUUCUUGACGCUGAGGCGCGAAAGCUAGGGGAGCAAACGGG